rnacentral:rRNA from 1 species
CUCUAUGAUGGGGAUAACAGUUGGAAACGACUGCUAAUACCGAAUACGCUCAUGAUGAACUUUGUGAGGAAAGGUGGCCUCUGCUUGCAAGCUAUCGCAUAGAGAUGAGUCCGCGUCCCAUUAGCUAGUUGGUGGGGUAACGGCCUACCAAGGCAACGAUGGGUAGCCGAUCUGAGAGGAUGAUCGGCCACACUGGAACUGAAACACGGUCCAGACUCCUACGGGAGGCAGCAGUGGGGAAUAUUGCGCAAUGGGCGAAAGCCUGACGCAGCGACGCCGCGUGAGGGAUGAAGGUCUUCGGAUCGUAAACCUCUGUCAGAAGGGAAGAAACUAGGGUGCUCUAAUCAUCAUCCUACUGACGGUACCUUCAAAGGAAGCACCGGCUAACUCCGUGCCAGCAGCCGCGGUAAUACGGAGGGUGCAAGCGUUAAUCGGAAUCACUGGGCGUAAAGCGCACGUAGGCUGUUAUGUAAGUCAGGGGUGAAAUCCCACGGCUCAACCGUGGAACUGCCCUUG